AAGUCGUAACAAGGUUUCCGUAGGUGAACCUGCGGAAGGAUCAUUAAAGAACGCCCCGUUUUUGAAAUGGGUAAUUCCAAACCGUGUAUACAUACCUUUGUUGCUUUGGCAGGCCGCCCCUUGGGGCGUUGGCUCCGGCUGACUGCGCCUGCCAGAGGACCCAAACUCGUUUGUUUAGUGAUGUCUGAGUACUAUAUAAUAGUUAAAA
rnacentral:misc_RNA from 1 species